UGUCAAUAAAUUAAUAGACUUAUCCUCAAGGCCAAGGCCAACGUGCAUGGUGGGAGUCCGGUUGUCGCGUUUAUCUUUGCUACCUUCGUUACAUAUCGUAUUGAAACUAUGAGAUUAUGGUUAUUUAAGUACUUCUUCCUACUCAAUGCGUGCGCGACCUGGUUGGUACGGCCUGCCCUAUAUUCCAACACAAAAUCAAAUUCUACUUGUGAAGCCCAGCCCGUGUGAGGCCCAAGCCUGUUUUGAAAGUGGAUUUUUCCUUAUUAAAAGGUAUGAUCCUGUGAAUAGUAGGCCCAGUUGAAGAAAAACAAGACCCAACCCCUUUGCAAAACGACACUGUCUCAGUCAUGGGUGAAAAACCUUAAAAUUCUUUUUUCCUCCCCUCUUUCCCCCCAGCACCGCAACCCCCUCCCCUUCCUCUAAAAUUUCCUCUCUCUCUCUCUCUCUCUCUCUAACCCAUGUCCAUUGCCGUUGGUAUUGCCACCUUGCCGUCAUUGUUUGUCUACCAAGUAGCAGCCCUUCUUCCCCAUUUGCCAUCGCCACUCCUUUCGUUGUGCCUCCUAUCUCUCCCCUCUGUCAACACGAGAAGCUUUGGCCAUGGCAGCUACUCGCCUCCGCUACAUGCCAAACGUCACAGCCCAAGCUAGAAUUCUGUAACUCGCGGCACUGCAUGAAACCUCUGUAGUUUGCCUCACCUUAAACCACCAAGACCUUUCAUCUAAAUCUCACCAUCUGAAAGUCAUGCUGCCGUCGAGCUAAGCUAGCUUCCACCCAUCGAAAACCCAUCACCGAGCAUAUCUCUCUUCCUCUUAGUCUCUUUCUCAACCCCUGGAUCUCUCUUUUCCCCCUCUAUGUUUUCCAUCCCAUGGGGCUUAGGAGAUUUUGCCUAGGGUUCCGUUGUGCGCCGUUGUGAUCUACUGCCCUCUGGUGCUAUCUAGAGGUCGCUCGACCAAGCUGCCUCGUUAAACUGAAAUAUUGCAUAUUUUAGUGGUCAAAAAAAUAGAUGUCUAAAGUUAUUGAAAGUUACACGACGUAUGGAAGAAAUACUUUCUUUUCGCUCAGCCUAGUUCAUUCAAGCACAUAUUUUAUAUAGGGCUUUUCGUUUAGUCCAAGUAAUUCAACGCUGCAACUUGAAAGAAGGAUUUUAUUGGUAUUGGACUUUUGACCUGUACAACAUUAAUUCUCUUGGGGCAUUUUCAGCCACACGCGCAUAUUAUUCUCCUCGAGGCAUUUUUCAUGCCGCACAAUUUCUUUUUGUUCAAUAUUAUUCACGCCGCACAAAAUUCUAAUGAUGGAGCAUUUCAGCGCUGCAUACAUAUAUUUCUCUGGGUUGAAGACAUGCUGCAGGCUACCUGGGAUUAUUAUUGAUUCUUUUUUUUUUCAUUGAGGAACUGCAGUGCCAUUGAAGAGCUCCUUGAGGGGUCUAAUUGCUGUAAUAGUCCAGCCUCUUCCACUGCUUUCAAUCUCUAUCUCCAUCUAUUUGGCUUGCUAUUUUCAUUUCCAACUUCUUAUUUAAUUUUAAUUUGAAGUAUGGUUUAUUUUUUA